rnacentral:tRNA from 1 species
GCCUUCGUGGUGUAGUGGUCAACACACUCGACGCGUAUUCGAGACGUCCGUGGUUCGAGUCCUGGCGAGGACA